rnacentral:rRNA from 1 species
AGGACGAACGCUGGCGGCGUGCUUAACACAUGCAAGUCGAGCGGUAAGGCCUUUCGGGGUACACGAGCGGCGAACGGGUGGGUAACACGUGGGUGAUCUGCCCUGCACUCUGGGAUAAGCCUGGGAAACUGGGUCUAAUACCGGAUAUGACCUGCUCUCGCAUGGGGGUGGUGGAAAGAUUUAUCGGUGCAGGAUGGGCCCGCGGCCUAAGUCAGCUUGUUGGUGGGGUAAUGGCCUACCAAGGCGACGACGGUAG